rnacentral:rRNA from 1 species
CACGGGGGGAACUAGCGUUGUUCGGAUUUACUGGGCGUAAAGGGUGCGUAGGCGGGUUGGCAAGUCGGGUGUGAAAUUCCAGGGCUUAACCCUGGGUCUGCAUUCGAAACUGCCGGUCUUGAGUACUGGAGAGGUGAGUGGAAUUCUCGGUGUAGCGGUGAAAUGCGUAGAUAUCGAGAGGAACACCGUUGGCGAAGGCGGCUCACUGGACAGAUACUGACGCUGAGGCACGAAGGUCGGGGGAGCAAACAGG